GGACGGCGAAGUAGCCCUCGCGCAGGACCAAGCUCGUGCCCACCUGGAUGGUACAGCGCGGCUUCCGUGGACCGUUCCCCUCAGUGACGAGAGAACAUGGCGGCUCCCUGUCCGGAGAUGUCAGAAGUGUGUUCUCCCACAGAAGAAAUUAUUUGUGUGGUUUCUUAGAAACAAGGUACUUAUGACAGUUUACGGCCUGACCAGUCUGACCCAGGACAGUUCCUGUCCUCCUUGUUUGAGGUCUUGGGCCAAACAGGACAUGCUACAACGCCCCUACUCCCCCACCGUCGCAGAGGGUGCUGUCUUUGCCUCUUUGUCCGACCUGUGAUGGAAAAGUCUCGUACUGGUCAGCCUCUGGGCCUGUAAAGAGAAGAGAGUGGACCUGGAACCAACUGUCCGGACCUGCCAGACAAGCAGAAGCAGGAUGGACUGGAUGGGAUUAUGAAAAACAAACUUCAGGAAUCCAGGGAUUGUGGGAGUGCUGCUUUUCUUCAGGGCCAGCUAAUUUCCUCAGAUACUGCUGAGCUUCUCUUUGAAAACCAGCCUCUUUAAUCCUGCUGUGAUGCCAAGAGGUAGCCUGGCAACUCAGACCUUGCCUUGCUCUGAGCCACUUCCUUUUCAGGCCAACUGUGAUGCCUUACGUCAAAGCUGAUAUGGUUCAGCACCAAGUUUGGGCACCAAGAGGGUGCUUGUUAACUGGCAGUGCCAGAAAGGUCUCCUGUCUUUCCUUGUCUGUGUAAAGUCACUUCUUUCCUGGGCAGUGGUUAAUUUGUUGAACAUCAGGGGAAGAGUUUUGACAGUUGGGGUCGGGGGAAAGUGCUAAAUAUAAGUAUGAACUCUUCUGAGGUGCUCUCAAAGACACUUCUCAACUCUAGCUUCAUAGACACAUCUGGUUCCUCUAUAGCUCUAUUAGCACAGGUUUUAUCCAGAAGGUGGCAUCACAGAACCGGAAUUUCACUCACCAGAGGUUAAACGAAAGGCCUCAGAUUACUGUUCUAGGCUUCUCCUGUGGCCUAGGACAGUAAUCUGAGGGAGUCUUCUGAGAGGCACCUGCUGACGUUGACAUUUCAGAGACUUUUUAUUUAUCCCUGUAAUUGGUUAAAUUACUUUAAAGCUGUGAAAGAUAGGGGUCAUGAGGGUUUCCUGCCCGGUGAAAACCUGAAGCGUGAGAUACUUAGAAAAACCUGUACCCAAACCCAUUUUCCUCCACCAAGUGACAGGACUGUGACCAAAACUGGCUUAUGUGCUAGUCGAAAACAGUUGUGAAACUUAACAAUAACUGUGAUGCCUUCUUCCCUUUCCACACACACUUGUGCCCACUGCCCAUCAGAGUCAUCUUGGGUGACUUCAUUGGAGGGAGGGGUCAGGAAGACCCAAAUGGAUGGUUUAAUAGGUAAAUCAGCUGAGUAUUGGCACUUAAAAAUGUCACAAGGUUGAGGAUUCCAAAAGAGUGACUCUCUGACUGGUGACAUUCUCAAAAUCAGGACUCUCAAGGAAAGAGAAGGUCAUCCUCCUCUGAGUUUGAGAGGGAAUCUGGCUUGCUGAUUCUUUCCCAGGAGUUCAUUUCCAGGCCAGCCCUGUCUCUUAGCCUCAUGAGACAGGUACUCAGUGCAUGUCUACUCACUGGUAGGAAUGUUAAUGUUCUAUAAAUUCUUGUUGUAACGUGUUCCUCUGGAUAUAUAUCUCAAGUGGGAUUGCUGGAUUAGAUGACAGUUCUAUUUUUAAUUUUUUGAGGGACUUCCGUACUGUUUUCCAUAGUGGCCAUACCAAUUUACAUGAGAGAACUCAUCUUGAACUGAAUGGAUUUCAUGACUGGUUCUCCGGUCACUUCUGAUUGUCUGUUCUUUUGAGGAGAAGAGCUAUAGAGAUUGGGGGCUCAAAGCGGGAAGGACUUCCCUGAUCAGGAAAAAUGGAAUGACUGACUAGAUAUGGUCCUUCCUUGGGGUGCCAGAAGCCUGUGGGCAGGGGGCUGGGAAGAGUGACCCUCUGCAGAGCUGCUCUCAGAGCAGGAGGAAAGUGCAGGCAGGAGGACAUGGGCCCUCGGUGUGAAAGGUGCAUUGCACUUUGUGUGUUCAGGAGUGUCUCCGACCCACUUCUCAAUCCCUGGUGCUGCCUGGGAUCGGCAUAGCAUGGGGACCGAAGAUAACAGUGCACAUCAGUGAGUGUGACAUGAGAGUAGAUUACCUUCUGGCAAAGGUGAGACUUUUUUGAUGGGGUUGUUCCCGAGUUUCCAGCAUUCAUGAGAACGUUCCACUUCACUUUAGGGAAGUGCUUGUAUUCCUGCUUCAUUCUGUGAGCUGCCUCAGGCUGUGAAAAGUGGCUCUGGAAAGGUGCCCUUUCCCCCUCCUCUGCUGUGGCCUGAACAGUAAUCUGAGGGAGUCUCCCGGGAGGCACCUGCUGAUGUUGAAUUCUUCUGGUGAAUAAUCGCACUACUUGAGUUUGCCACUCUGCUUUUCCUGCUGAGAGUGAGCUGUGUUCCACAGAGAGGCUAGUGAACGUGAGCUUCUGUUGCUGGUAGGUGUUUCUGAUGUCCCGGCCAGACACUUCUUCCUUCUGCUCUCCCCCGGCUCAGAUGCCUCGCCAACUCCUAAAGAAAGUGCGUACUGGCAAUGGCGGCAUCCGGGGCGUGGGAAAUGUUGGGUCCUGGGCAGAAGUUGGCCGUGGCCUGUGGUCAGGCUUCUGUGCCCCUCUGCAGAGCAAGGGCGUGUUGGGAACCCUGGGGAAUCCCGACUCUGUGUGAGGGAACGUGGUUGGGGUUUUAUGCCUGGCUUUCCACGGUGGCUUCCAGCACGCUUCUGCUGAGCACACUCUGCACGUUGGUUGGAAGAAAGAGGUCACGUGGGUCCUGUCAAUGAUCCCUAUAUGAAGCCGGGGCCGUUCGGAUCCUCCGGGGCAGGUGCACAUGAGCCUGCGUGUCCAGGAACCUGCCGGGUGAGGUGUCCAGGCUGGAGGAUGAAGCCCUCCUAUUCCCCUUGGUGAAGAGGGCCUACAGCCCCAGGCAGUAGCUGUCCCUUCCCCUGUCUAUCUGCUGGAAAGCGUUGCUGCUUGGUGGUCUGGCCUCUCACCAUGUUUGUCUUCCUCUUUGUGGGGGGGGUGGUGACAUUGUCUCAAGGGCACCUUGUCUACGAGCCCUCUCACGGAAGAGGGUGUUUUCCACAUGGCAGUGCGUAGGGGGGAUUAUGCAUCGUGCGUGGUGCUGGCCUACUGGAGGGGGAGAGGAUAGGGGUGUUGAGUUUGGGAGAAGGGGGGUGCUGUGGUUUCCCCAUCUCAGGCUUUUGCUUUCUCUUCAGUAGCGAAGUCUCUUCCCAGAGGGCAUACGAGGAGGCUCUGAGAAUAUAAGGAAACAUUGAGUGGGGAGGACCAGGGGCUUUGGUGUGAGAAUUGUGGUGGACGUGGUGGGUUCAGGGGAUGGCUCCCGUCCCCUUGCCCCAUUCCCUCACACUACCUUUGGGUGGCCAUGGCUGUGUCAUAGGAGAUAGCAAAGCACAGGACGGUGUGAAGUGAGAAAUGUCUCAGUGUGUGAAGCUGCGACCUUAAUAUUGGGAGCAGGUCCUCAGAUUUCAUUUUGCCAACGAACUGUGGGCCUCUCUGCCCGGAGAAAGUAUUGGUGUCUCUGCCGAUUCCUGUGCACUGCAGGUGCUUAUGUUGAUGUUUUUUUCUCCCCAGGUGUCUUCCUCUCUCCUGUAGUUAUGGGCUCUUGGGCACUGCUAAUGUGUUCAUUUCAUGUUCUAUGAGCGUAUAGCUGAGUUUCUGGUUUCAGCUGCCCAAGUUGUUCUCUCUUUACCUAGUUCUCACCCAUUGCACAGAUUUUUGCUGCCAGGUCCUUGAAGGAACAUUCUUGGGUUGUCAAAUUACCAAGAGGCUUAUUUAACUUAAAAAAAAAAGAGAUUAGCAUACAUUGCAAAGAGGCAGAGAAAGAACUGACAAGUUUUCCAAAGUAAAUGUUCUGAGAAAAGGGAAGAGAGAGGUCUUUUCCCUUUGUUCAACACCGACAAUUUAACUUUUCUUUUUUUAGUUCCCCUUACAACAUGCUCCCAUGAGAUACCAGGUCCCCUGGGUGUCUGCGCCCUCCCCCCAGAUGGUGAUUCCAGAGUCCUGGCCAAAGUCAGGCCUGUGCAGAGAACUUCCUCAAGAGGAACUUGUGCAGAUAGCACCUGAAGGAGAAAGUAAAAAGUAUGAGUGAUUGCUUAUCCUCUAGCCUGUGUUUACCCAUUCCUAUUUCCUCAGGGGGCGUUCUCUGAUCAAUAGGACCAAUUGGCAUGAGGAUUAAAACUACAGACCUUGUUUAGAGGUGUUGUAAAUUGCUAUGCCGAUGUCAGCGGUCUGUUGGCAAGUGAGCUGGACUUCCUUUAGCAUGCUCCCUUUCUUGAGUGCUCUGGAAGAGCAGAAAUUUGAUCUCCAGUUGUCAGAGGUUUGAUCUUUGUGGCUUCUGGUGCACAGAACCUGCUAGAAUUCUUGGUAGAAGUUGUGGGCUCAGAUCCUGCGUUAUGGAUAUUUAGUGUGCGGCCCUGUCCGAAAGAGUGGAAAGAAUGUGCCAAAUAUGUGCACUCCUGUACAAUUUGAAUGAUCCCUUCAUCCCUCUGGAUUUGAAGUUGCCCUCUCAGCCCAUUGUGCUGACUCCAGAAGCACAGCAAAUGGAUUAUUGAGUGUCACAGCCAGGCCACCUCAUAGUUUAGAUUUGGGUUAGCCUUCUGAGCUUCCCUUGCCUCUUCUUAUUCACGUGCAGGCCUGCUGUACUGCUUCAUAUCAGCUUUGGAAAAGAACAGCAGUGGGUCUGGUUUAGUGAAUCCUAAGGAGAUGCACUGCUUUGCUCAAUCUCCCCCAUCAGUCCGACACAGCAGCCUUCCAGAAUGCUGAAAGGCCUGUUGUAGACUCUACUCUAGUGACCGUAGCCUGUGCAGUCAGGGUACUGAGCUGCAGCAUGUAGGAUAUAGUUAAAGCCAGGAUCCAAGCACCUGUGCAUCUCCUUCAGAGCUCAGAAUUGAGGUAUUAUAUACUGAAAAAUGUGCUAAGAGAGUAGAUCUUAGUCUGUCUUCUGUCAUAGUCUUAUUAUAAACAAAUAAUAAUAAUUAAUGAGGGUGGAAUGAAAUUUCGGAGGGGAUGGGGAUGUUAAUGGUAUAGAUUGUGGAGAUGGUUUAUGGAUGUAUACUUAUCUCCAAACUCAUUAAGUUGUAUAUGUUAAAUAUGUAUAGCUUUUUGUAUGUCAAUCAUACCUUCAUACCUCAAUACAGUGGUUUUAAAAUAAUAAUAAUAAAAAGGCCCUUCCAGGGUUACAGAUGAGUGCUCUCCCUCAAGUGAUUUUAGAUUUUAUUUAAUUUAUUAUUAUUAUUUUUUGGCCACACCAUGUGGCAUGCGGGAUCUUAGUUCGCUGACCAGGGAUUGAACUCAUGCUCCCUGUAGUGGAAGCACCGAGUCUUAACCACUGGACCUCCAGGCAAGUCCUCUAGAUUUUAGAAAUGAAGGGGACGAAUGCUUCUACGCGAGGAAAUGGGUAAUGCCACGUACUGCUUCUGUAUCAUUGUUUUGCCUUGGUUUUUCUGCACAUAUGUAGCAUUUGCAUUGGCGGUGUAUAAGGUUAACCUUUAGUCCAUAGCAUUUUGAAUUUCAUAGAAUUACAGCAAUUGUACAGAAGCCAUGAACUUCACCUGGAGGACUUCGGCUCAAGGAGUGGCCCUGUGACAUCAGCUACUUGUCAUUUGACCAGAAGUUGACUUUGGGGUACUGUGCCUUUGGGAAUGGCUUGGACUUCGGGUUGUUUUCAUUUUUUAUAAUAUGUGCUUUUGUGCUUACUCAAGAAAUCUUUAAAAAUAUUUUACAUAUGGGGACAUGUCAAAGUGUGUAUGUACUGUAUCUGUAUUUCAUAGGAUGAAAGGCAGUGUCUCAGGCUGAUUGGUCUGUCUAGCAGGCCCCUUUUCUCUGAGACCUUCUCACAACCUUCUCUUUUCAGUGUGACUGCGUUCCCUGGCCAUAGCUACUUGGUUUGAUACUUUUCAUCUUAUCCUAGUUGAGCCAGUCAUACUUUUGUUAUAUUUAGAGUUUGGGACUAGACCCCAAGAAUGAGUGAUAGCCUGCAAAGGCUCAUUAAGAACCUUUCACUGCAGAGAAUGUAAAAAGAUAUACUGUUGAGUUUCCCUGAGCUAGCCUCAUUUCUGUGUCUCUAAAAUGUAUUUGUUGCUUGUUUUUUGCGUUUUAUAAAAUACUUGUGUUCUUCCAA